rnacentral:rRNA from 1 species
CCUACGGGAGGCAGCAGUGGGGAAUCUUGCGCAAUGGGCGGAAGCCUGACGCAGCGACGCCGCGUGCGGGACGAAGGUCUUCGGGUCGUAAACCGCUUUCAGCAGGGACGAGGCCCUCACGGUGACGGUACCUGCAGAAGAAGCGCCGGCAAACUACGGGCCGGCGGCCGCGCUAAUACGGAGGGGGCGAUCGUUAGCCGGAUUCAUUGGGGGUAAGGCGCGCGUAGGCGGCCUGUUAGGUCGGGGGUAAAAUCCCGGGGCUAAACCCCGGUCCGCCCCCGAUACCGGCAGGCUUGAGUGUGGUAGGGGAAGGCGGAAUUCCCGGUGUAGCGGUGGAAUGCGUAGAUAUUGGGAAGAACACCGGCGGCGAAGGCGGCCUUCUGGGCCACGACUGACGCUGAGGCGCGAAAGCUAGGGGAGCGAACAGGAUUAGAUACCCUGGUAGUC